AAAACGUCACCAAACAGCCCCAAAGUUUUAGCCGCGCUAGGAGAGCUUCCGAGGCAAGUUUUGGAGAGUUUCGGUAAAGACUAACAAGUUGGAAGAAUAAGAAAAGCUAGUAAGGCGCGGUACAGGUACACCUAGACAAGUAGAAGCUAUUAUAGAAGAUGUUCCAGCGGGGUUAGCAACUCCACUUGUUCCUAGGGUGCUGCCGAGUCAGAUUAUAAACGCUAUGAUAUUUCAUUCGAAGUUAGAGACCUUGCAGACAGAGUCGUGGGUAUAGAGUGUCAGCUUUCUAAGCGGCGU